rnacentral:rRNA from 1 species
CGCGUAGGCGGCGGAGCGUGUCGGAUGUGAAAUCCCCGGGCCCAACCCCGGGAAGUGCGUCCGAAACUGCCCCGCUGGAGGACGGAAGAGGGAAUCGGAAUAUAGGGUGUAGCGGUGAAAUGCGUUGAUAUCCUAUAGAACACCGGAUGCGAAGGCGGAUUCCUGGUACGUAUCUGACGCUGAGGCGCGAAAGUCGGGGGAGCAAACAA